rnacentral:rRNA from 1 species
UAACAAAGUGACGCAAAACGGCGACGUCGAGCAAAUCACAAAAACCCAGUCCCAGUUCGGAUUGUAGUCUGCAACUCGACUACAUGAAGCUGGAAUCGCUAGUAAUCGCGAAUCAGAAUGUCGCGGUGAAUACGUUCCCGGGCCUUGUACACACCGCCCGUCACACCAUGGGAGUUGGAAGCACCCGAAGUCGGUGA